AUUUUGGUGUUUAAUCUUUGUUUCCCUUACUUAUCUGUAGUUAGUUAGUUGGUUAUGUCCUUGAUAACAUGAUUACUAGAGAGUUCAGGGGUCAUAUAGGGCAAUUAGUUUUAUAUUUUCAUGAUUACUUUUCAUUGCUAGACAAGAUUUGGCCAUUAUUCGUUGGCCAUUAUAACUUUGUUUGUUAUUCAGCUUAUUAAGUUGUUCGUCAGA
rnacentral:misc_RNA from 1 species